CUACAAGGGAGGAGAGGGGUUUAAAUGAACAAUGGCUGUGAAAAAAUAAGACUAACCUAACGUCGGCUGUUCCUCGAUUGCAUCGGCCUCCAUCUACUACCAAUGGUUUGUACCGGCCCAAGGAUCAUGCAUCACCACCAUUCGAUGGCUUUAUCCAAGCGAAGAAGGCACGAGCAAAGGAUCACAACCGCAUCCUCUAUUCCAACCCCUUUUCUUUUGUUUUUUUGGAUAGAAGUUAGCUAGGCUUGUUGGCUUUGGUUCAAAACGGGCUCAAUCAAGUCGGUUCUCACAAAUAUGUUCCAAUAUAAUUUGGUCAUUCACUUACUAACAAAUAACAUUAGCUUUCUCUCUUAAUAGAUAGAAAUACCCCUCGCUCAUGUAUGGGCUUGGAGGAGGAAGAAAAUGAGAAGGAAAAGUAGAUGAUGAGGAAGGAAAGGAGGGGAGAGAGACCAUCGGUGAAGAAUAGGUUGGAGAAGGA
rnacentral:lncRNA from 1 species